rnacentral:rRNA from 1 species
AUUGAACGCUGGCGGCAUGCCUUACACAUGCAAGUCGAACGGUAACAGGUCUUCGGAUGCUGACGAGUGGCGAACGGGUGAGUAAUACAUCGGAACGUGCCUAGUAGUGGGGGAUAACUACUCGAAAGAGUGGCUAAUACCGCAUGAGAUCUACGGAUGAAAGCAGGGGAUCGCAAGACCUUGUGCUACUAGAGCGGCCGAUGGCAGAUUAGGUAGUUGGUAGGAUAAAAGCUUACCAAGCCGACGAUCUGUAGCUGGUCUGAGAGGACGAUCAGCCACACUGGGACUGAGACACGGCCCAGACUCCUGCGGGAGGCAGCAGUGGGGAAUUUUGGACAAUGGGCGCAAGCCUGAUCCAGCAAUGCCGCGUGCAGGAUGAAGGCCUUCGGGUUGUAAACUGCUUUUGUACGGAACGAAAAGCCCUGGGUUAAUACCCUGGGGUCAUGACGGUACCGUAAGAAUAAGCACCGGCUAACUACGUGCCAGCCGCCGCAGUAAGAC